GACGAACGCUGGCGGCGUGCCUAACACAUGCAAGUCGAACGAAGUAUAGUAAUAUACUUAGUGGCGGACGGGUGAGUAACGCGUGAACAAUCUGCCCUGUACAAAGGAAUAGCCUCGGGAAACCGGGAUUAAAACCAUAUGACACUUUAGUACCGCAUGGUAUAGAAGUCAAAUUGAUUUAGAGGUAUGGGAUGAGUUCGCGUCUGAUUAGCUAGUUGGUAAGGUAAUGGCUUACUAAGGAGACGAUCAGUAGCAGGCCUGAGAGGGGGAACGGCAACACUGGAACUGAGACACGGUCCAGACUACUACGGGAGGCAGCGGUGGGGAAUAUUGCACAAUGGAGGAAACUCUGAUGCAGCGACGCCGCGUAAGUGAAGAAGGUCUUCGGAUCGUAAAACUCUGUCCUUGGUGAAGAAAAAGACGGUAGCCAAGGAGGAAGCCCCGGCUAACUACGUGCCAGCCGCCGCAGUAACAC
rnacentral:rRNA from 1 species